GUUCGGUUCUAGAGAUGUCAAACUGGGUACUGUCCCGCGGGCCUGGUCCGGAAAGGUUUGUUGCAGGACGGGUAUGGGCCUAGGGAUUCAUGACCCGCAAAAUAGCGGGUCUUGCGGGACUGGGCUUGUUUAGUACCAGGUCUAAAGCGGGACGGCCCGCAUCAACCGCGGGAAGGCCCACAUGUACCGCAUCUAGAUGCUUCAUCGUUUCCGUUGCCCUUUCACCUGAAAAUGAAAAGAAAGAGAGAGUGAAAGGCGACAGAGCUUCGACGUGACCGUGAGAAGAAAUAGAGCUCUGGUGAUGGCUGUUCCCAUUCGAUGUCUGACAGACGACAGUGCUUCCGGUGACCACAUCGUUCCCGUUCCCUGGAGCUUCUUUACAUGCAUUGGUCGUUUUCCUCCUCUCUUGAAAACCGCUUCUGAUUCAGCUCACGAUACUCUCUGCUAUGGCCGCUGCUACCGGUGAAGAGAGAAAAGACCAUGCCGAGUAGUAGAUUGCGUGCUAACUCCCGUCAUCAUCUUGGCUUGUAUCGCCGUCUUCAUCGUUGUCAAUUUGUCAUGUUCAUCAACGACUGCCCCAAGACGGUUGAUGGUGCCAACGGAGAUUGUGUGCCAAGGUUUCUCCGUAGGUUCUCGCUCCAGCCUCUCAGAGAGAACCCUCUCUUGGGCCCAUCUUCUUCCACACUGGAGAAAAUGGGACUGUGGUUACUGAUUCCAUGCUAAACCCGCACCAGUCAAGUAUCCAAGCUUCAAGUCUGAAGGCAAGCCUAGCCUUAUCGAUUGUGUCAUAGAUGUGUCGGCUCUUCUUGUUAAGGAGGAGACUGCAUUCCCUUUGAGACAAGACUCUUCACUAAUUCCAGGAGAACCCAAUAUAUCUUAUAUAGCCUCUGUUCCCUGGAGAGACUAGAGUUGAUCAAUUGGUGGAGAUCAUUAAGGGGAGUAUCCUGCAGCAUCAGGAAGUGUUCUGGAGCGUUAGGAAGUGUUCUGGAGCGGCCUGCAGUGUCAAGCAUAAUCGGAUACACUACAUUGACGUAUGUACCGCGGGACAGCCCGCAAAGGAGUGUGUAUUUGGCGGUACGGGCUUGGGACAACCUUUAGGAGACCGCAGCCCAUGCGGACCUGACCCGCCGUGACCCGCAAGAAGAUGAGCCUGCUGCGGUACGGGACGGAACAGGACGGAUCAACCUGUUUGACAUCUCUACUAAUACCCUAGAUAUAUAAAAAAUAAUAAUUAAAAAAUAAUUAAAAAAUAUAUUUUUUAUAGUUUUAGAUUAUAUGUUUUCAAAUUCUAACUUUUUAUAAUUGUUUUUUUUAAAUCGAUUUUUAUUUAUUUAUUUUUUUCAAA